CAUCUCUGCUUCUCUCCCCUCUCCCUCUCUUCUUUUCUUCUCUCCUCUGAACCCUCCGGUUUCUCCUCUCCUCCUAUCUGCCCCACCAAACUCCCACACAACCCCUCCCUUUCUCUUUGUUUCAGCCGCAAACAUUGCUUCUCCAGGAAAGUUCCCACUCAGCAGUAGUUCUGGGGAGAAAACCGUUGGAGAACAGCAGCCCCUUAGAGUAAACUUGAAUCUCCGCCCUCAACUCUCUCCCAUGCCGCUGCUGCCCAGAACAGCUUUUGUGAAGGUGGGACAUCCACGUUCCCGGAACUGCUGACAAAUCUUCAGAAUUCAAGGGCCAAUCAUUCCUGAGUCGGGGCAGGCAGAAAGCCAGCAGAAAGCCGGAAAGUCCAAAAUCGCACACUGACUUGAAGUACUCAUCGCCAACAGAGGCCACUGGGCCCCUAGAUGGAUGAGGAACAGGUAUGUCUCUCAAGCCCAGCUUCCUACCAACCAGAAGAAUAGUGGCUCUGGAGGUGUGAAACUAGCAAAAAGACUCGGGGGAGUGCCAAGAGAGAAGAAAGGAAAAGGCCAGACGAUGCAGUAAGGAGUCAGAGAGAUGGAACCUGGAAAAGAAAGGAGGAGCCCGGAACAAGAGGGAGGAUGGUGUAACAGGAUCCCAGAACUCAUACCUGACUUCCCUAAUAUGGGGAGGAUGGGUAUUGAAAUGAGCCAAUUGUUUCAUACCACUGAUUGAUUGAUUGACUGUACAGCAUUUUCAUUUCUUCGAAGCACUUUCAACAUCACGUGUCUCUCAUUUUAUCCUCACAACACCCCUGCCAGGUAGGAAGAGGUAGGUAUCAUUGUUCCGUUUUACAGAUGAGGAAACUGGGGCCAUAGAGGGGAAAUGAUUUGCCCAAGGUCACGUAGCAGGCCGGGGAGAGCCGGAUUUAGAACUCAGGUCUCGGGAUGCCAAUCCCGUGCCCUUACCACUCAAGCAGAAGACACGGGAAACUGCCCAGAAUCAGCAGUUGGAGCUCAGGACACUUCACGGAGCGCAUCUCGGGCAGUCUCUUGGACCUCAAGAAAUAAGUGGGCAUGAAUGACAUGCUUCAGUGGGAAAUGGAGGUCCAGAAAGGGGAGGGAACUCCUUCCUCCUGGGGCAGUGUCAGAUGGGCUACCCAUCUCAAGCCUUCCCCAGGCUAGGCUGGGUCAUUGCCAGGUAGAGGAGAGCUAGGAGAUGGGGACCAAGAAGCAGAGGAGACCAUGGCCCAGAGCUGAACAAGGGAGCAGACCCCCCAGGCUCUGGUAAUGCAGUUCAGUCUGACCCCCAAAUCCCCAUAACCCUCUCCUUUUCCCUCAUUCCCUAGUUUUCCCUUUCCUCCUCCCAAUCUUUUCCCCCUCCCUCUCCCCGACACCAGUGCUCUAGCCUGCACCUCCCAAUAAAGGAAAUCAGUGUCCUGUCUCCUUA